rnacentral:tRNA from 1 species
CGUACCGCUCAGCGCGGCGGCGCGGUCCGGCCUGCAGCGCCGCACCGAGGCGGCGCAGCGCACCAUGGCCCGGGUCCGGGCCGAGGCGGCGCGGCC